GAUGAACGCUGGCGGCGUGCCUAAUACAUGCAAGUCGAGCGAACAGAUGAGGAGCUUGCUCCUCUGACGUUAGCGGCGGACGGGUGAGUAACACGUGGAUAACCUACCUAUAAGACUGGGAUAACUUCGGGAAACCGGAGCUAAUACCGGAUAAUAUAUUGAACCGCAUGGUUCAAUAGUGAAAGACGGUUUUGCUGUCACUUAUAGAUGGAUCCGCGCCGCAUUAGCUAGUUGGUAAGGUAACGGCUUACCAAGGCAACGAUGCGUAGCCGACCGGAGAGGGGGGUCGGCCACACGGGAACUGAACCGCGGUCCAGGCGCCUACGGGAGGCAGCAGUAGGGAAUCUUCCGCAAUUGGCGGAAGCCUGGCGGAGCAACGGCGCGUGGGUGGUGGAGGUCUUCGGAUCGUAAAACCCUGUUAUUAGGGAAGAACAAAUGUGUAAGGAACUAAGCACGUCUUGACGGUACCUAAUCAGAAAGCCACGGCUAACUACGUG
rnacentral:rRNA from 1 species